UACAGAGGGGGCAAGCGUUGUUCGGAAUUACUGGGCGUAAAGGGCGCGUAGGCGGCUUUGUAAGUCGGGGGUGAAAGCCUGUGGCUCAACCACAGAAUUGCCUUCGAUACUGCAUGGCUUGAGACCGGAAGAGGUAAGUGGAACUGCGAGUGUAGAGGUGAAAUUCGUAGAUAUUCGCAAGAACACCAGUGGCGAAGGCGGCUUACUGGUCCGGUUCUGACGCUGAGGCGCGAAAGCGUGGGGAGCAAACAGG
rnacentral:rRNA from 1 species